ACAGCAGUCGCCACGGUAAUACGGAGGGUGCAAGCGUUAUCCGGAUUUAUUGGGUUUAAAGGGUCCGUAGGCGGAUCUGUAAGUCAGUGGUGAAAUCUCACAGCUUAACUGUGAAACUGCCAUUGAUACUGCAGGUCUUGAGUAAAUUUGAAGUGGCUGGAAUAAGUAGUGUAGCGGUGAAAUGCAUAGAUAUUACUUAGAACACCAAUUGCGAAGGCAGGUCACUAAGAUUUAACUGACGCUGAUGGACGAAAGCGUGGGGAGCGAACAGGAUUAGAUACCCCAGUAGUCCCUGUCUCUUAUAA
rnacentral:rRNA from 1 species